UAAUUUGAGAGUUUGAUCCUGGCUCAGGACGAACGCUGGCGGCGUGCCUAAUACAUGCAAGUCGAACGAACUCUGGUAUUGAUUGGUGCUUGCAUCAUGAUUUACAUUUGAGUGAGUGGCGAACUGGUGAGUAACACGUGGGAAACCUGCCCAGAAGCGGGGGAUAACACCUGGAAACAGAUGCUAAUACCGCAUAACAACUUGGACCGCAUGGUCCGAGCUUGAAAGAUGGCUUCGGCUAUCACUUUUGGAUGGUCCCGCGGCGUAUUAGCUAGAUGGUGGGGUAACGGCUCACCAUGGCAAUGAUACGUAGCCGACCUGAGAGGGUAAUCGGCCACAUUGGGACUGAGACACGGCCCAAACUCCUACGGGAGGCAGCAGUAGGGAAUCUUCCACAAUGGACGAAAGUCUGAUGGAGCAACGCCGCGUGAGUGAAGAAGGGUUUCGGCUCGUAAAACUCUGUUGUUAAAGAAGAACAUAUCUGAGAGUAACUGUUCAGGUAUUGACGGUAUUUAACCAGAAAGCCACGGCUAACUACGUGCCAGCAGCCGCGGUAAUACGUAGGUGGCAAGCGUUGUCCGGAUUUAUUGGGCGUAAAGCGAGCGCAGGCGGUUUUUUAAGUCUGAUGUGAAAGCCUUCGGCUCAACCGAAGAAGUGCAUCGGAAACUGGGAAACUUGAGUGCAGAAGAGGACAGUGGAACUCCAUGUGUAGCGGUGAAAUGCGUAGAUAUAUGGAAGAACACCAGUGGCGAAGGCGGCUGUCUGGUCUGUAACUGACGCUGAGGCUCGAAAGUAUGGGUAGCAAACAGGAUUAGAUACCCUGGUAGUCCAUACCGUAAACGAUGAAUGCUAAGUGUUGGAGGGUUUCCGCCCUUCAGUGCUGCAGCUAACGCAUUAAGCAUUCCGCCUGGGGAGUACGGCCGCAAGGCUGAAACUCAAAGGAAUUGACGGGGGCCCGCACAAGCGGUGGAGCAUGUGGUUUAAUUCGAAGCUACGCGAAGAACCUUACCAGGUCUUGACAUACUAUGCAAAUCUAAGAGAUUAGACGUUCCCUUCGGGGACAUGGAUACAGGUGGUGCAUGGUUGUCGUCAGCUCGUGUCGUGAGAUGUUGGGUUAAGUCCCGCAACGAGCGCAACCCUUAUUAUCAGUUGCCAGCAUUAAGUUGGGCACUCUGGUGAGACUGCCGGUGACAAACCGGAGGAAGGUGGGGAUGACGUCAAAUCAUCAUGCCCCUUAUGACCUGGGCUACACACGUGCUACAAUGGAUGGUACAACGAGUUGCGAACUCGCGAGAGUAAGCUAAUCUCUUAAAGCCAUUCUCAGUUCGGAUUGUAGGCUGCAACUCGCCUACAUGAAGUCGGAAUCGCUAGUAAUCGCGGAUCAGCAUGCCGCGGUGAAUACGUUCCCGGGCCUUGUACACACCGCCCGUCACACCAUGAGAGUUUGUAACACCCAAAGUCGGUGGGGUAACCUUUUAGGAACCAGCCGCCUAAGGUGGGACAGAUGAUUAGGGUGAAGUCGUAACAAGGUAGCCGUAGGAGAACCUGCGGCUGGAUCACCUCCUUU
rfam:Lactobacillus plantarum WCFS1 complete genome